GACGGAGGAGGCAAGCGUUAUCCGGAAUUAUUGGGCGUAAAGCGUCCGCAGGUGGCGAUUCAAGUCUGCUGUCAAGGGUCGGGGCUUAACCCCGGGAAGGCAGUGGAAACUGAAUAGCUAGAGUGCGGUAGGGGCAGAGGGAAUUCCCGGUGUAGCGGUGAAAUGCGUAGAGAUCGGGAAGAACACCAGUGGCGAAAGUGCUCUGCGGGGCCUGCACUGACACUGAGGGACGAAAGCUAGGGGAGCGAAAGGG
rnacentral:rRNA from 1 species